GGGUGCGAUCAUACCAGUGUUAAUGCACCGGAUUCCAUCAGAACUCCGCAGUUAAGCGCGCUUGGGCUAGAGUAGUACUGGGAUGGGUGACCUCCCGGGAAGUCCUAGUGUUGCACCCU
rnacentral:rRNA from 1 species